rfam:TPA: Bos taurus chromosome 29, whole genome shotgun sequence.
UCCCUGAUAGCUCAGAUGGUAAAGAACCAGCUUGCAAUGCAGGAGACCCAGGUUUGAUCCCUGGGUUGGGAA